UCCCUCCCGAGGCUGCGCCCUCUGUGUAAGAGGAUAACCUUCCUCAAUUAGAGGAGAACAGGUCUUCAGUCAAGGGUGUAGUACGUGCAUUCCCCUGCUAGAACCGCCAAACAAGCCCUCAAGUAAUUCUUGACUGCCUUUGAUAAACG
rnacentral:sRNA from 1 species